rnacentral:rRNA from 1 species
UACGGAGGGUGCGAGCGUUGUCCGGAAUCAUUGGGCGUAAAGGGCGCGUAGGUGGCCCGGUCAGUUCGUGGUGAAAGCGCGGGGCUCAACUCCGCGUCGGCCAUGAAUACUGCUGGGCUGGAGCACUGUAGAGGCAGGCGGAAUUCCGGGUGUAGCGGUGGAAUGCGUAGAGAUCCGGAAGAACACCGGUGGCGAAGGCGGGUCUCUGGGCCGAUACUGACGCUGAGGAGCGAAAGCGUGGGGAGCGAACAGG